CUGGCCCGAGUGCUGGACAUGCAUGCAGAUGACCGCGCGCUGGAGCUGGUCGUGCGGAAGGUUGCACGCUGCUGGUCGGGCGCGCGGAGGGCUACGCUGUUGAGGACCCUGCUCCGCCAAGCCAAAUUUCUUGGAUGCACGAUGACUCAGCGGAGCAUAGCAUCGACUUCAGGCAUGAUCCAGGCCAGAUCAGCAGCUUAGAGGCCAGUCUUCAGCUUGUCGGCCAAGCAGACUAGCAGCCAACCGAGCCAUGCACAGACCUAGACCAACGCCCGUGCAAGGUUCUCG
rnacentral:lncRNA from 1 species